rnacentral:sRNA from 1 species
ACGAUUUAUCAACUCGUAUAAUGGAAGUAAAGAUGAAAUAGCUGUAGUUUUUGUGUUCAACAACGAGGCUUGGACGACACUACUUCGGUCCGUGCAUAGCGUCCUCUCAAGAACACCAGAGAAAACAUUAAGAGAAGUAGUUUUGGUGGAUGACGGAUCCAAAUUAGAUGCAUUGAAAAAGCCACUGGAGAAAUAUUUUAGCAUAUUCCCGAAAGUCAAAAUUGUUCGCAGCCCCACGCAGCAAGGACUGAUUAAAGCUCGACUACUGGGCUUCGUCUCAUCCACCGCUCCCAUUGUUGUGUUUCUGGAUUCUCACACUGAAUGUUUUCCAGAUUGGUCAGAGUCUCUUGUGAUUAGAAUAACACAAAACAAAAGGGCUGUGGUGUUUCC